AUGCUAAUACAGAUCGAAAUCGCAGUUUUGAAGCACCCGCUUAACUCCUCAUUCCUCACUCCACUCCGCAGUACUCACUCUUCUCCAUUAACCUACUUGCGGUAAUUCUGGAGCUAAUACAUGCAAAUAAACCCUGACUUUUGAAAGGGUGCAAUUAUUAGAGCAAAUCAAUCACUUUCGGGUGCAGUUUGCUGACUCUGAAUAACGCAGCAUAUCGGCGGCUUGUUCGCCGAUAUUCCGAAAAAGUGUCUGCCCUAUCAACCUGAUGGUAGUCUAUUAGUCUACCAUGGUUAUUACGGGUAACGGAGAAUAAGGGUUCGACUCCGGAGAGGGAGCCUUAGAAACGGCUACCACAUCCAAGGAAGGCAGCA
rnacentral:ncRNA from 1 species